rnacentral:misc_RNA from 1 species
UUUCCGUAGGUGAACCUGCGGAAGUAUCAUUACCGGGUGAGGGUCUCUCAGGCCCGACCUCCCACCCUGUGUUUUUGUGACCUUGUUGCCUUGGCGGGCCCGCCUCGAUGAGAGGCAGCCGGAAGCUCACCGCUUUGGGCCCGUGCCCGUGAGUAGCCCCCUUAAAUUCUUAAUAAACCUGUCGUCAGAGUUAAUGGAUAUAAUGAAAAAAAACUUUCAACAACGGAUCUCUUGGUUCUG